rnacentral:rRNA from 1 species
UACGUAGGGGGCCAGCGUUGCUCGGAAUUACUGGGCGUAAAGGGUUCGUAGGCGGUGCGGCAAGUUGGAAGUGAAAUCUCUGGGCUUAACCCAGAGGCUGCUUUCAAAACUGCCGUGCUCGAGUGCGAGAGAGGCCAGUGGAAUUGCAGGUGUAGCGGUGAAAUGCGUAGAUAUCUGCAGGAACACCCGUGGCGAAGGCGGCUUUCUGGCCUGUUCUUGACGCUGAGGCGCGAAAGCUAGGGGAGCAAACGGG